CAUAGUUUGAAACUUAUGAUAGGAGUUAUAAAAAAGAUAAGAAAUCAGCCCAAUUAAUGUCGUAAAUCGUGUCCAAUAUUUCAAGCGUUUGUUUUCAUUUUUAAAAUGAAACAAGCUUACUGUCAGCCAUUUUACACGCUAUUUUUAGCUUUUUUUUAAAUCGGAAAUUACCGAUACUUUUCAUAUGCUAUAAUCAAUCUUAUGUUAAAUGUAAACAGAGCCUGUGUCUGUGUUGAUAUCAAAGUCAAAGACAGAUCUUUUGGCUUACGCAAUGCCUAUUGCUGUCAUUUCUGGGAUAAGAUCAUGUCGUGUUAAGGAUCUGUACCUAGUAUUAAAUAUCCAGACACAUUAAUACACACUUUAUAAUUAAAAAAAAACUUCGAUUUCUCUCUAAUAAGGUUUGAAGAGGUCUGUUAAUGCUAUGGACUAUAUUGGCGUGUCUGUUUUUAUAAUUGUGUCCGUGAUGUGUGUAUUGCUUCUGGGUCUAUGCAUUUGGUGUACAAAGAAAAACAAAUGCUAAAAUUAUUAGACGAUGGAAGCGGAUGGCAGAAUCAAUACUGAUCACCCGAAAAGAGAUCAAACAGAAUGUAGAUGAACUUAAAAUGACGUUACAAUCAAUCAACUGUGAAGAGAUCUGAUACAGAAAAUCAAUCAACUGUGAAGAGAUCUGAUACAGAAAAUCAAUCAACUGUGAAGAGAUGUGCUACAGAAAAUCAGUCAACUGUGAAGAGAUCUGAUACAGAAAAUCAAUCAACUGUGAAGAGAUCUGAUACAGAAAAUCAAUCAACUGUGAAGAGAUCUGAUACAGAAAAU